CUUCCAGAAGCAACGUUACGUACUUUUCUUAGAGAUAUGGCUAGAAAAAAGAGUAGAAAGGUUAGUGGAGCUGCAUUAGCGAAAAUGCUGGGGCGAAAGAGCAAGGAGGCAGUCCAGGAAUCUUCUGUUACGGUUGAUAGCUCCACAGAACCUCCCAACAUCUUUAAUGGUGUAAGUCUUGAUCAAAGGGUGGACGACGUAAGUUUGAACUUUAUUACUUAUCUUAUUCUUAAUAUAAAAUGAAACAUAUCAUUUUGUUAAUCAUGUAAUUAUUAACUAUUGAAUUAGGAAUUUAUAAUUUUUAAAUGAUUGUUUCUGCCGCACGUUUGGAAUAUAUCUAAUUACGUUCAAGAAAACCAUCAAGAUAACUUAAACAGCCUCAACCUAUCAAGAUUCUCAUCAAAAUCAAAAACCAUUACAUCAUCAAGACGUAAACCAACGAAAUUUUUUCAAGAAACAAGAAAAAACAUCAAUUUCUUCAUUCAAGAAUCAAAAAAAAAUAUAUAACCUCUCAAGAUUCUCAUCAAAAUCAAGACGUAAACCAUCGAAACUUUUUCAAGAAACAAGAAAAAACAUCAAUUUCUUCAUCCAAGAAUCACAAACAAUUUACAACCUCUCAAGAUUCUCAUCAAAAUCAAGACGUAAACCAUCGAAACUUUUUCAAGAAA